rnacentral:lncRNA from 1 species
GUCAUACUGUCCACUGAAAGCCACACAACUUAUCUGUGCAAGCCGCUCUGAACCCCACCUCCAUCGUUCUGAGUCACACAGCUGCAUUUUAAACACAAGCCGAGGCCUUGACAGUGAUUUCUGGUCAGUCUCACUUGGUGAGAUGCAGCCUGUGGCGCCAGCCUGUCAGCCUCCUUUCUGUUCUGAUGAGGGAGGGAGAGGUCGUAUGAUGCAGGCUAAGUUCAAUUUUGUGGCUACAGAAAGGGCCGUGGAUGGUACUUUUACCAACCCCUUAUCAUCUGAUGAAUGACUCUGUCUGGAGAGCUGGCAGGUGUCUGUUGUCCCUUUUGGGUCAAAGGACCACAGCGGCACUCAGUCCAAAGGAGUCAUGUGGAACUCAAAUACCAAGAUGAGGUGAAGCUGAGAACACCCCUGGAUGCCUUCUUUUCAUCACUGUGAGCCAUCCUACCACAGCUGUGACCGACAAUCUUCACUAUCAGUUUGGCUGGACUUAAGUCACCAUGGAAGCACAACUUUGAGCGUGUCUAUGAGGGUGUCUCCAGAAAGGUGCAACCAACGAGGGAAGCCCCACCCUGAAUGUGGGUCACUGUCCCAUGGGCUGGGGUCCUGGCGUGAAUGAAAGGAGAAAGCCUGGUAAACACAGGAGCCAGCUCUUUGUUCCCUGGCUGUGGAUACAAUGUGGCCAGGUGCCUCACAGUCCUGUCUCCUUGUCUUCCCUGCCAAAUUGAGCUGCACUUUUAAACUGUAAAUCCUAGUAAACCCUUCCUCCCUUAAGUUGCUUUUGUCGUGUAUUUUGUUACAGCUUGAGAAAAGUAACCAAUACAAUGCCUCCUUUGU